UACGGGGGGGGCAAGCGUUGUUCGGAAUUACUGGGCGUAAAGCGCACGUAGUCGGCUUUGCAAGUCGGGUGUGAAAUCCCCGGGCUCAACCUGGGAACUGCAUCCGAGACUGCAUUGCUAGAGUAUGGGAGAGGGAAGCGGAAUUUCUGGUGUAGCAGUGAAAUGCGUAGAUAUCAGAAGGAACAUCAGUGGCGAAGGCGGCUUCCUGGCCGAGUUCUGACGCUCAGGCACGAAAGCGCGGGGAGCAAACAGG
rnacentral:rRNA from 1 species